AAGUAAUAUUAAAAGUUUAUAAUUUUUGGAUAGUGAUACAGAUUAGUUUUAAACAGAGCUAAAAGACGAAAAAUGAUCCAUAUAGCUGACUCUAACUAAUUGAAAACAAGUGUUAUCAACUAGUUCUUUUAAAGUACAGGUAAUAAUACAUAAUCAAAACAAUAAGAUGUUUACAUUCAUUGGAUAAGUCCUGAUUAUGCCUAAAUUACAAGCAUGUAAAAUGUUGGCAUAUACAUGUUUAUUUGGAAAUCUAUGUUGGUUUAUAUACAUUGCCAGAAGCUAUCAGAUUUACAAAGAAAGCUGAUAUGACAACCAUAUUCCAAGAGACACAAUACCUACAGUGGCAAAAGCUUGGCCCAACUCAUAAAAUAAAUUCUGUUGUUGGAGUGGCAAAGUUUGCCAAUCUGUUUGCCUGUGCAAAAUUUAAAAACAAGAAAAAAAAAUGUUAACAAAGAUUUUCCAAAUCAGUUAAUAAUUAAAUGGCAAAACAGAUAAAAUUGGUGUAGUAACUGAUGGUUGUGGUUGAUUCAAGUAAAGGCCUGUUUGGCAUUGUUGUUUAAGCUGUUUAAAAAAGGAUCAACUUGAAUAUGUUAAGUACAUGCCAUUAAAGUUUGUUUUUCACAGUUUAAACUACUUUUCUUUUUCCUAGCUAUAUAUAAAAUGGUGCUUUUUUCCAACAACACCUUCUGCUAGUCUGAAACACAAUGCCAAACUAGCCCUAAGGCUAAUGCAUUGAAAAUUAUUAGUAUGCGUCAGAGGCUAACUCAAAGUAUUGAGCAGAACUCAAGCUCAGAAGCAUAAUGGUAAAUAUCAUGCAACUACAGAUAGAUGCAUACCCUAAAUCAGCGAUAACAAUGCUGACAUUAUCUUGCGAACGUAGAUCCUGCAACAUAAGCAACUUUAGGUUAUAGAACUGCUUGAGUAGAAUAUUAACUAUACUUUAGAAUAAGACUACUUGUCCAUGUAAAUAAUUACCAGAGCUGUUCGUGCAAGUUCUUCACAUGCUAUCUGAAACCAGAACAAGAGGAAAGUUAGCAAUGGAAAAUGGUAAAAAGAUCACCUAUAGAAUAUCGAUAUUAAAACUGGGUUCUCAGUUUAGCACAGUAACAGAAUUUGUAUUUCUUGGGUCAUUGGUGAUUUACACAGUUGGGGGCUCCUAUCCAUUCCCCAGUCCUUAUCUUGGCUCAGUAGGAUUCAAACAUGAGAACUACUAGUGAAAAUCUUAAGACUUGAGGAAUGGAUAAUUAGUAGCAAAGAAAAUAGCUACCUGAACAUCUCCAUGUUGCCGAAGUUGAUUCCUAACAAAAUUAACUGCAUCUGAGCUGAAACAGAACAUAGCAAACAAAACUAGGCAUGACACUCCUCACAACUUAAAAAAAUAAUAAUAAUAAUAGUAGCAGAUAGAUAUUUCUGGGUAUUUUAACAAAUGGCCAACAGAUAUAAGAGUCAAAGAUCGAUGGACCAACAAACCUGUUCAUGUAAUCCCAUAAACCAUCAGAUGCUAAAAUUAUAAAUUCUACAUCUGAACCCAGAGCUACUUGAAAAACAUCUGGAGAUGCAAUAACCAAGUCCCCAUUGAAUUGCACUCUGUGAAAAUGUAACAGCAGGGACCUUAUAAACAAUUUUGCAAGCUAGAAAUUGACUCAGUUUACAUUAUAUGUAUAGGAGGAACAAUCUAAUUUAAGCUACCUUCCAAAUCCUUUUCACAUGUCCAGGAUAAGGUAAAAAAUUUUCAGCUUGUAAAGGUAGCUAAAAGCAUAUCAGCACAUGGGGCAUUACAUUUGCAGUUGCUCAUGCACAUUCAAGAAGUGAUAAACUAUAACUACGAGUGAAAAUUCAGUCUCCUCAUGUGAUCAAUAUGACGAGCAAUAAGUUUUGCCUCAUACAUAUGCAGUUAAUAAAAAUAUAACUUAUUCCCCAUGCAUCCUUCUGUAAAAUGGAACUGAUAUGUUGGCUUUGAACUAGUCAUUUGGAAGAUUCCAAGCAUAAAAGCACCAGGAGCAUCAGGUCCAAUAGUGAAAUCCAAACAGCAUAAGAUUUGCAUUUUCCCCUGAAGUAUUAUGCCCUUAAAGCUGGCAUCUGUGACUUCAUAGCCAUAGAUGAUCCAAAAACACCAACUAUCUCAUUUUUUUUCUAAAAUUAUUCAAUAUUAUCCAGAAUGCUUCUAAUUGUGCUUAGGGUGAUUUACAAAUUAUUUUAACCGAUGAACUAAUCCCUAAGGCACCCACAUUAUGGAGAAGUAACUUAGCAUGCUACCAGGUGGGGGGUGGGAUGGGGGGGUGGUGGCGGCGGGGUGGGAGAAAGAAAAGGAAAGUUCCUACCGAGAACCAAAUUUUUCCGACCAUCUCCCUUCUUCAACUCCUUUCUGCACCAUCCUAUACAAGUGUAGAAAACAUUGUUAGGACAUGAAUUAUACUAGUAGUCCAUAUACUUAUAUAUUAUGCAGAUGCAAUAACAUAUAUUUAUGUUGAGAAUACUAAGCAGGGAUAAAAAGGACUGACUCAUUUUUCUUUGUCUUGAACCUUACAUCACCAAAAGCUCGUGAUACUGCUAUAUCUCCACAGAUUCUUCCAUUGACAAUCUAUAUAAAUUGCAGAAAGAAUCAUCAUUAGAUCAGCUAUGUAGGUUAAGCAAACAGUGGAGUUUCACAUUAGAUUGCCCAUGACAUAUGGCUUUUAUUGGUACAAUAUAUUCAAGACAACAAUUUAGGGAAACUGAAUCAAAUUUAAUCCAAUGUCCAAGCAGAAAACAAAUGAGGAUAGUCAAGGACAAUAACAUUUUCUUACAUUAUGAUGGUCUGGUCUUAAACCUAAAGAUAUAACAGAAAGCAGUUCUGCUAAUCCCAUGUGAACAGAACCCAUGUGAACAGAAUAAGGCAAUAGUAAUCAUCAUGUGAUGUCAAUCAGAACAGCAAUAAAAAUUUGUUAAGCAUGAAAAUUUUUCUACAAAGAUUUCUGCUUGUAUAGGAAUUUCCAAUUUUCUCUUCAAUGUUGGCGAAAUGAGAAUUAAAUAAGAAUUUGACAAAGCAAAUGGAAAAUAAAGAACAGAAAAACACACCCAUCCACCUGCUUCUCUGAUUCUUCUGAUUUCUUGAAGAGAGGCCUUGUUGCUUCCAAUGGGUCGAUGGGAAUCAGUCAACACUUCUGCUUUUCCAGAACGAGACAGGACCUGCAUCAGCAUAUCUGCUAAGAUGAUAUGAAAAAUUACAUAAAAGCUGCUCCUAGGCUGACCACCUUAAAAUGUUCUAAGUUCCUCACUUAUCUCUUAUGUCUUCUUGGAAUUCAAAGGGAAUGGCAUUUGGCAGAAAAUAACAUCACAAAAAUGGAGGAAACAAUCAUUUGAGUCGAUGAGAAAAAAAAAAAAGGAAGUCAGGAUUAUUACUGCGCAUGAGUCACCAAUAUGUGAAAUGAUGAGAACAUUCUUUCCAAUGAACAUAACAGUGGCUGUUGAACCAGAUUCAUCUUCCUCACCAAUCGUUUCAAGCCUUUACAAAAUGAAACACCAUCCAAAUCUUAAAUCCAAUCAUAUAGAAUAUAUAAUUACACCAUGACUACUGUGCUCCUAUUUUUCUAUGCUCAAAGAAUGUAAUGGCUUACCAAUUUAACAAUUUUGCAUCAACAUCUUCAAAAACCUCUUUUAUAGCGUUUCUGAUGACAUUGAAAUCUUUUCCACUCAAUAGCAAACCACCUUGUAAAGCUGCAACAAACUCCUUGUAUAACUCAUCCCUGAGGAACUUGACAGAAGAGAUGCCACCAUGGCCAUCAAAAACCCCAGCAAAGGAGAACCCAUCAAGGCCAUCUGAUCGAAUGAUAAUAUCAUCCUCCAUCUCUUCACGAGGGCCCUGCAAGCUUGCAGAACCCCACCGGAUCCCAUCAACAUCAGUUAAAGAAGACGGAGCAUCUAUUGCAAUCGCGGAACAUUGGCUUUUGGCUCUCACUGGAAGCAAAUUGUUCUUGGUGGAGGAUUUGAGGCUGGAGGUGCCACAGUGGAGCUUGGUUAGAAGGAACCUCUCCAACUGGGGGCAUAGCAAUGCCAUUAACCGAGUUGGGUCACUGAGUUGGAACGAGUUUCAGGUGAAGUAUCGUAGAACAGAGAAGAAAGGGAGGUAGUGCAGUGUUGUGUUGGGCGGUGGUGAUUUUUGUUUGGUAAUGAAGGAUAAGAGGAUGAAGCUAAAC
rnacentral:misc_RNA from 1 species